rnacentral:rRNA from 1 species
AGAACGAACGCUGGCGGCAUGCCUAACACAUGCAAGUCGAACGCGUGUAGCGAUACACGAGUGGCGGACGGGUGAGUAACGCGUGGGAACCUGCCCUGGAGUGUGGGAUAACCGAGGGAAACUUCGGCUAAUACCGCAUACGACCUGAGGGUGAAAGAUUUAUCGCUCUAGGAGGGGCCCGCGUCGGAUUAGCUAGUUGGUGGGGUAAAGGCCUACCAAGGCAGUGAUCCGUAGCUGGUCUGAGAGGAUGAUCAGCCACACUGGGACUGAGACACGGCCCAGACUCCUACGGGAGGCAGCAGUGGGGAAUAUUGGACAAUGGGGGGCAACCCUGAUCCAGCAAUGCCGCGUGAGUGAUGAAGGCCUUAGGGUUGUAAAGCUCUUUCGCGCGCGACGAUGAUGACGGUAGCGCGAGAAGAAGCCCCGGCUAACUUCGUGCCAGCAGCCGC